rnacentral:piRNA from 1 species
CCGGCCAAUGCAAAGAGAACUUU